rnacentral:misc_RNA from 1 species
GAUGAAGAACGUAGCGAAAUGCGAUAAGUAAUGUGAAUUGCAGAAUUCAGUGAAUCAUCGAAUCUUUGAACGCACAUUGCGCCCGCCAGUAUUCUGGCGGGCAUGCCUGUUCGAGCGUCAUUACAACCCUCAGGCCUCGCUUGGUAUUGGGCAACGCGGUCCGCCGCGUGCCUCAAAUCGACCGGCUGGGUCUUCUGUCCCCUAAGCGUUGUGGAAACUAUUCGCUAAAGGGUGUUCGGGAGGCUACGCCGUAAAACAACCCCAUUUCUAAGGUUGACCUCGGAUCAGGUAGGGAUACCCGCUGAACUUAAGCAUAUCAAUAAGCGGAGGA